GACGAACGCUGGCGGCGUGCCUAAUACAUGCAAGUAGGACGCAGUUGCGAACGGGUGAGUAACGCGUAGGUAACUACCUAUUAGAGGGGGAUAACUAUUGGAAACGAUAGCUAAUACCGCAUACUAGUAGAUGGACCUGCGUUGUAUUAGCUAGUAGGUAGGGUAAUGGCCUACCUAGGCAACGAUACAUAGCCGACUUGUAGGGGGGAGCGGCCACACUGGGAAUGGAAGAAGGCCCAAACUCCAACAGGAAGCAGCAGUAGGGAGUCUUCGGAAAUAGGGGGAACCCUGACCGAGCAACGCCGCGUGGGUUAAGAAGGUUUUCGGAUGGUAAAGCUCUGUUGUUAAGGAAGCGGUACUUAACCAGAAAGGGACGGCUAACUACGUGCCAGCAGCCGCGGUAAUUC
rnacentral:rRNA from 1 species